rnacentral:rRNA from 1 species
UACGAAGGGGGCUAGCGUUGCUCGGAAUCACUGGGCGUAAAGGGCGCGUAGGCGGCCAUUUAAGUCGGGGGUGAAAGCCUGUGGCUCAACCACAGAAUUGCCUCGAUACUGGAUGGCUUGAGACCGGAAGAGGUAAGUGGAACUGCGAGUGUAGAGGUGAAAUUCGUAGAUAUUCGCAAGAACACCAGUGGCGAAGGCGGCUUACUGGUCCGGAUCUGACGCUGAGGCGGCGAAAGCGUUGGGGAGCAAACAGG